rnacentral:rRNA from 1 species
ACGGAAGGCAGCAGUGGGGAAUAUUGCACAAUGGGGGCAAGCCUGAUGCAGCGAUGCCGCGUGAGGGAAGAAGGUUUUCGGAUUGUAAACCUCUGUCAUCGGGGACGAUAAUGACUGUACCCGAGAAGGAAGCUCCGGCUAACUACGUGCCAGCAGCCGCGGUAAUACGUAGGGAGCGAGCGUUAUCCGGAAUUACUGGGUGUAAAGGGAGUGUAGGCGGGACUGUAAGUCAGAUGUGAAAUAUAGCGGCUCAACUGGUAGACUGCAUUUGAAACUGCGGUUCUUGAGUGAAGUAGAGGCAAGCGGAAUUCCGAGUGUAGCGGUGAAAUGCGUAGAUAUUCGGAGGAACACCAGUGGCGAAGGCGGCUUGCUGGGCUCUAACUGACGCUGAGGCUCGAAAGUGUGGGGAGCAAACAGGAUUAGAUACCCUGGUA